rnacentral:rRNA from 1 species
UACAGAGGGUGCGAGCGUUAAUCGGAAUUACUGGGCGUAAAGCGCACGUAGGUGGCGACGUAAGUCGGGUGUGAAAGCCCCGGGCUCAACCUGGGAAUUGCAUUCGAGACUGCAUUGCUGGAGUACGGAAGAGGAAGGCGGAAUUCCCGGUGUAGCGGUGAAAUGCGUAGAUAUCGGGAGGAACAUCAGUGGCGAAGACGGCCUUCUGGUCCAGUACUGACACUCAAGUGCGAAAGCGUGGGGAGCAAACAGG